rnacentral:lncRNA from 1 species
CACCGUUUCAGUGGCAUUUAAAUCCCCGGCGCUCCUCCGUCUAGGUGACGCGCAGUCGCCCCCCCAGGCAGCUGCGGCGGCGGCAGCUGCUGCGGCUGCAACGGCAGAUUCGGAGUGCUGGG